rnacentral:rRNA from 1 species
UUCGGGAACGUCUGAGACAGGUGCUGCAUGGCUGUCGUCAGCUCGUGUUGUGAAAUGUUGGUUAAGUCCCGCAACGAGCGCAACCCUUAUCCUUUGUUGCCAGCGAGUAAUGUCGGGAACUCAAAGGAGACUGCCGGUGAUAAACCGGAGGAAGGUGGGGAUGACGUCAAGUCAUCAUGGCCCUUACGAGUAGGGCUACACACGUGCUACAAUGGCAUAUACAAAGAGAAGCGAACUCGCGAGAGCAAGCGGACCUCAUAAAGUAUGUCGUAGUCCGGAUUGGAGUCUGCAACUCGACUCCAUGAAGUCGGAAUCGCUAGUAAUCGUAGAUCAGAAUGCUACGGUGAAUACGUUCCCGGGCCUU